rnacentral:rRNA from 1 species
CGGAUUGUAGGCUGCAACUCGCCUACAUGAAGUCGGAAUUGCUAGUAAUCGCGGAUCAGCAUGCCGCGGUGAAUAGUUCCCGGGCCUUGUACACACCGCCCGUCACACCAUGGGAGUCGGUAACACCCGAAGCCUGUAGUCUAACCGCAAGGAGGACGCAGUCGAAGGUGGGAUUGAUGACUGGGGUGAAGUCGUAACAAGGUAGC